UAUAAUAAAAAUAUAUAAUUUAAUAAGUAUGUGCCACGACGAUUUAUCAUUUAAACUAUUGACUAAAUACUGAUAAGACGCAAUAAGUGUUGUAAAAUAUUAAUAUAUAAUUUCAAAUGAAAUUUAAAUACGAGCCUAUUUAUGGAUCUCAAGUUCACUAAUUAAUUAAGAGGUGGAGGCACCUGAGUCCACUGAGGACAUAACAACUUGGCUAUCAGGGAAUUUGAAUUCUAGUUCGGGUAGUAAAUUUACGUCAAAUUGUAUAUAAGUUGUCGUCAAAAACGAAAAAGUCCGAAGUUGACGGACAUUUUAUAUAGAGAAUCUUUUUUUGGUAGGAUUCAAACUCUACGCCGGUUCGCAGUCACGUGACCAGAAAAUUUUGCCGGUCUGUGCUCGUUGUAGUAUCGGGUAACUCGCUUAUGUGCUCUUGCAACUCGGCUACGCAGUUGCGGUAUUCAUUUGAUCUUGAACUACAGUCGCAUCGUGGUCGCAUUCCAUCAGAUUAAGAACUUUUAAUACAGUUUACUAAACUAUUAAUAAUUAAUCAAUUAAUUAUCGAGAUUAUUUAUCUACUAGUUACUUUUAAAUAAUAACAGUGAUUAAAAACAAUCAAACAAGAUGGCUGCAGAUUUUAAGUAUCAUUUAAUUGAAUGCUUGAAGAAUCAUAAAAUGGCGGCGAAGCUGGAUUAUCCCGCGUUCCGGACUCUGAACUGCGAAUCAAAAGAAAAAAAUAAUUUUUUUCUUUGUUUCUAAGUAGAGUUUACCUACAGUUUCAACCCAUGUAACACAAAUAUUACUACGGGUAUCAGUCGAAGGCAUUAGUCAUCAUACAAAAUGUUCUAACCCCCUAGACUGAUAUACUCAAACCGUAGUAAUAUUUUUGGGUUGGAUUAUAAUAUAGGUCCAGCAAUGUCCUAGAGAUGAAUUGCUGGACACGGAAGUGGGGUCACACCUGCGUAGCCAAACUGUCAAACAGUCCUCAGUAGAGGCGCUGUUUUUUAGUAAGCAUUAAUUACUACUUUUAUAAUUUAUGUAUAAGUAUGUAUGUAAAAAAAUGUAUAAGUAUAAAUUAAUAAAUAAUAAAUAUUAUCUAA